AGAGUUUGAUCCUGGCUCAGGACAAACGCUGGCGGCGUACCUAAGACAUGCAAGUCGAACGGACUGCACGUCUUCGGAUGUGCAGUGAGUGGCGAACGGGUGAGUAACGCGUAGGAACCCGCCUCGACGUGGGGGAUAACACUUGGAAACAGGUGCUAAUACCGCAUGUGGUCGCAAGAAGAAAGGCCUUCGGGUCGCGU
rnacentral:rRNA from 1 species